CGAGCUGAAGAAGACGAUCCUCGUGCGCGCCGCCGCGGCGCGGAACGGCAGCACGGCGCGCCUGGCGCCGCCCUUCCCCUCCGACUCGUACGCCACCUUCACGGACUCCCUCCCGGCGUACGCCUCCAUGACGAGCGACCCGCGGCAGGCGUUGCCGGCGUCCCCGACCGUGAACGACAGCGCGUACCGCCGCCCCGGCACGGUCCGGACCACCUGCGCCACCGCGCCCUCCCUCCCCGCCAG
rnacentral:lncRNA from 1 species